AUCGAAUAUUAUUUUCAAGUUAUUUACACAUAAUCCAAAUAUACUUCAUUUUGCACCACGUUACCGUACUGUGGCAGCUGCAUGGUACACGAUAUUUAUCUUUUCACAAAGCAUCUUUCUAUCUUCUGAGGAAAUUCCAAGCCCAGGGCCUUGACUUAGUUUCUCGGAUUUUUGUCUCGUAACAAAACGCACCGCCUUACUUUUACUUACACGUGGUGAAUUUCGUUGUUGGUAACCAAAUCCACGAAAAUUUCAGCGAUUCACGUUACAAUUAUUAUGAACGUAAUUUCGAAAUAUGUUCCACUGCGCAGGAAAUGAAGAUGACUCGACGGAUGACGAGUAAUUUCUCUUUUUUUUUUUUUUUUUUUUUCAAACAUGACAUUAUAAGUUACACACAAAAUAUUUCACUGACUAUUACGUGAGUUCCUUUAUUUCUAUGUUAUUUACAACCGUGUCAUAAUAUGUGAUCGAUUGAUUCUUGGUAAUUCAUAUAAGUGAAAGAAGAAAUCUUUCUUUCUUGUGAAGAAAAAUUCACGAUGUAAUAAUAAUUUCAGGAAUGAUGGCUGUAAUUCCAUUCGAAGAAUAUGCGAAGAACACGAUUCUUUGCGCAAUAUCAAUCAUCUUGCAUCUGUACAGAUCAAAUUCUUUCUCGUGGCCUUUUCACUGGUGUAUAAUUUUCGUCUGCAGUCUACUACGUGACAUUGUUUCGUCAUCGUAUUUAAGAAAGCAGUGAAAACAACUUCUUUAAAGAAAUUGCACACAUCUAAGUCUAUCUUUAUCGCACAGGCGAUACGUAACACUUAACUAAUUAAAUUUUCUCUACGUGUUUGUGUUUGAAAUAUAAAUUAAAAACAGUAAAAUGUAUGUAUUCCUAACGCAACAAUUGUAACAGUUUCUGAGGAAACUGGGACGAAAAUGAGUUUCCAUGCAACUUUAGCAAGACUUGCAUUUGUAGAUUUUUGAAAUAUCUUUUGAGGAGUAUGGCAACAGUGGACUAAAUAUCUCUAGCCAGAAAAUUAGGUCAGGAAGAAUUCUCUUACGUAGAAAACGGGUUACGAGAAACCUGUUUACGUAUACAUAUGUGGCUUAAUUGCUUGUUCUUCGUACUUAUGCAAUAUCGUCUGCAUCGUUUAAAUACAUUUCGGUGUAAAAUAUUUGUUGAAUGUCAAUCUACAAUUCUAUAUGUUCGCUGGUAUUGACUCUGUUUGAAAACAUAGAUUUGGAUAUGGAGAAUGCCCGUACGACAAUGUCGAUUUUAUUUAUUCCAUUAAAAAAUUUAAUUAACCAACUCAAAUUAAGAAUUCACGAACACAAGUUAAUUAUAUUUUACGCGACGAAAGAGAUA